rnacentral:rRNA from 1 species
CAGUAGCCGCGGUAAUACGUAGGGUGCAAGCGUUAAUCGGAAUUACUGGGCGUAAAGCGUGCGCAGGCGGUUUGUUAAGACAGAUGUGAAAUCCCCGGGCUCGACCUGGGAACUGCAUUUGUGACUGGCAGGCUAGAGUAUGGCAGAGGGGGGUGGAAUUCCGCGUGUAGCAGUGAAAUGCGUAGAUAUGCGGAGGAACACCGAUGGCGAAGGCAGCCCCCUGGGCCAAUACUGACGCUCAUGCACGAAAGCGUGGGGAGCAAACAGGAUUAGAUACCCCAGUAGUCCCUGUCUCUUAUAC